rnacentral:guide_RNA from 1 species
AUGUAUAAAUAAGAACACCACUAACGCUGAUAGAUAUAUAGUGAGAUGAAUUAUGU